rnacentral:misc_RNA from 1 species
GAUGAAGAACGCAGCGAAAUGCGAUAAGUAAUGUGAAUUGCAGAAUUCAGUGAAUCAUCGAAUCUUUGAACGCACAUUGCGCCCCCUGGUAUUCCGGGGGGCAUGCCUGUCCGAGCGUCAUUACAACCCUCAAGCUCAGCUUGGUGUUGGGCCCCGCCGCCCCGGCGGGCCCUAAAGUCAGUGGCGGUGCCGUCCGGCUCCGAGCGUAGUAAUUCUUCUCGCUCUGAGGUCCGGUCGUGUGCUCGCCAGCAACCCCCAAUUUUUUUCAGGUUGACCUCGGAUCAGGUAGGGAUACCCGCUGAACUUAAGCAUAUCAAUAAGCGGAGGA